AUGGAUUAUAUUAACUCUCUGACUGUGGACCUGGGUUCCAAGGAAGGACACUCGUCACUAGGGCCUCCUGUACAAGAGGAAAGGGGUUGUCACAGGACAACAGAGUGUUUUCUAAGAGGACAAGCCAGUUCUCCCCCAAAGGAAGAAAAUCGGGGUUGCAUGGACACUCAGGUUCAGCAGAUAAUGGAAAACAAGGUGUUUCUCUCUAUUUGCAAGAUUCUCACUAGUGCCCAGGGAAGCUCGGGGCACAGAACAAAUGAAAGGAAAGGAUGCCAAGAGGAAGGCUGUGAUGCUUGCCAUCAGUCAGAGAGUAACGAACGGUGUGCUCAGGAGAGGCUCGGUCCCUGAGGACGGCUGAAUGCUGCUGGUUUCAUGAAUGGCUUUAUUACAUGUGCGAACCAUCAGAAAUUUAGCCUCACUCCCAAUCAACAUGAGCGAUUUGUAAUCACAAACUUUGUGACAGAAAGACAAAUGCAGAACUCUCAGGACCAAAUUAGGCAUAAUUAGUAUCCACACAGGAAACUCUCCAGUAACCUGGCAAUUUGCGGCUGGGGGAGGACACAUGCGGCAUUGUCUUAACAACAAGUUUGUCAAACAUGUAAUUAGCCACCGGCCACCAGCCACCUUUGCAAACCGAAUCUGAGCUGCUGCCAGUCACAGACUGACUGUGACGCCCCUUAGCAGAAGCCUCAGUGGACGUGCAAUUGCAGCGCACCGGGAGGGGCAGACGGCCACGCCUGUUUUUUUCCUGAUGGACUCACAAUAUUUUUCCUCGUUUUAGUGAACUUGGAUUUCAGGGGUCCGUUUCACUCAAGCUACUUUCUGAAGCAGGAAGUCCUUUUUGUCAGAGUUUAGUGACAGCUGUGAACAGAGUUGGCCGUAGACAAUGAUCUUGAUUCAGACGACUAGACUUCCCAGCGUAAGAAGUUGAUUUCCAACACUUCCGAUAAGGAGAAAUAUUCUGAACCGCAGGCCUCAAAGCCUCAUCCAUCCAGUGCGGUGAGAGGCCUCAGUGUCCCCGCCUUCCCACCCCAGCAUUUCAGAAAGAAUUAACUGAAAAAUAUUGUCUCUGCAAAUAAAAAAUAAUAGUACAUCCA
rnacentral:lncRNA from 1 species